CCUACGGGAGGCAGCAGUGGGGAAUAUUGCACAAUGGGGGGAACCCUGAUGCAGCAAUGCCGCGUGAAGGAUGAAGGUCUUCGGAUUGGAAACUUCUUUUGUACGGGACGAAGAAAGUGACGGGACCGGAAGAAUAAGCAACGGCUAAAUACGAGCCAGCAGCCGCGGUAAUACGGAGGUGGCAAGCGUUAUUCGGAUUUACUGGGUGUAAAGGGCGAGUAGGCGGGAUUGCAAGUCAGAUGUGAAAACUAUGGGCUCAACCGAUAGAGUGCAGUUGAAACUGCAGUUCUUGAGUGAUGGAGAGGCAGGCGGAAUUCCCGGGGUAGCGGUGGAAUGCGUAGAUAUCGGGAGGAACACCAGUGGCGAAGGCGGCCUGCUGGCCAUUAACUGACGCUGAGGCGCGAAAGCGUGGGGAGCAAACAGGAUUAGAUACCCGGGUAGUC
rnacentral:rRNA from 1 species